UGGGGAAUAUUGCACAAUGGGCGCAAGCCUGAUGCAGCCAUGCCGCGUGUAUGAAGAAGGCCUUCGGGUUGUAAAGUACUUUCAGCGGGGAGGAAGGGAGUAAAGUUAAUACCUUUGCUCAUUGACGUUACCCGCAGAAGAAGCACCGGCUAACUCCGUGCCAGCAGCCGCGGUAAUACGUAGGGUGCAAGCGUUAAUCGGAAUUACUGGGCGUAAAGCGCACGCAGGCGGUUUGUUAAGUCAGAUGUGAAAUCCCCGGGCUCAACCUGGGAACUGCAUCUGAUACUGGCAAGCUGGAGUCUCGUAGAGGGGGGUAGAAUUCCAGGUGUAGCGGUGAAAUGCGUAGAGAUCUGGAGGAAUACCGGUGGCGAAGGCGGCCCCCUGGACGAAGACUGACGCUCAGGUGCGAAAGCGUGGGGAGCAAACAGG
rnacentral:rRNA from 1 species